CAAUAGCGUAUAUUUAAGUUGCUGCAGUUAAAAAGCUCGUAGUUGGAUUUCGGGUGGGAAUGGCCGGUCCGCCGUUUCGGUGUGCACUUGCUACGCCCACCUUGCUGCCGGGGACGUGCUCUUGAGUUCACGCUCGGGACACGGAGUCGGCGAGGUUACUUUGAGUAAAUUAGAGUGUUCAAAGCAGGCCUACGCUCUGAAUACAUUAGCAUGGAAUAACACGAUAGGACUCUGGCCUAUCUUGUUGGUCUGUAGGACCGGAGUAAUGAUUAAGAGGGACAGUCGGGGGCAUUCGUAUUUCAUUGUCAGAGGUGAAAUUCUUGGAUUUAUGAAAGACGAACUACUGCGAAAGCAUUUGGCAAGGAUGUUUUCAUUAA
rnacentral:rRNA from 1 species